GCUUUUUUCAUGAAGAUUCUAGGCUUCUUAGCAGUCAAAGAAUACAGGAGAUUUUCCUUCCUGUUUCAUCAUCUUCUUCUUAUUGGAAGGUUUUGUUGUUGGUAACUUGGAUCUAUACAAAUGCAAAUAGAUGUGAGUCUUUUUUUGGUGAUGAUAUGAUUGAUUACUAUGGUGACUAAGAUUGUGGUUUUGUUGCUGAUCUUACAUACAUACAUGUCUGACUAUACGAAGAAGAUGGUAGAUAAAUUACUUCAGAACUUAUACUUGAAAUUUCUUAACCCUUAAAAAGAAGGAAAAAUUGGAAAACUGCCUCAACAUGAGAUGCAAUGUUGGAAAUCUGCCCCAACGUUAAAAAUAGUUGGAAAAAUGCCCCAUUUCGUUAACUUUGACAUCCAACCCAGUUAAGUCACAUGCGUAAAGCCACCAUCACCACCAGAACUACCAUUAAUAUCGCCGCUUCCACCACCAGAACCUUAAACAUGAACCCUAAACCCUCAAUACUGGAUUUUGAACCCUUAAUCGUGAAUUUUGAAGGAUGUAUUUGUCUUUUUAUUCGCGUGUGUGGGCUCACACAUGUGACUUAACAGAGUUUUUGACGGAAUGGGGCAUUUUUCCGAACUUUUAAAUGUUGAGGCAGAUUUCCAACAUUGCACCCCAUAUUGGGGCAUUUUCCCAAUUUUCCCUAAAAAGAACACAACAUGACUGACUAGGUCUAAUUACAAUAUGGAAAAUCAAGAUAGAUUAAGAAAAACAUAGAUCCAGCUUUAGUAAAGCGAAACAAGUCAUGGAUUCAUCAUGAAGAUAUUCUAAUUUGUGAUCAUCUACUGAUUUUUCCCUUGUUAGUAGUAUUUAGUAAAGAUCUGGCGGUGAUUGUGUAUCCACAAAACAACCUAAGCCUAAAUGCAUUCACACACUAGACUAUCUUGCUUAGCCAUGGAAUGUGCAGUUUUUAGUGUAUCCCUGCACAAUGGCAAAGAGAAGAUAGCAUUCACACACAGGCUAUCUGGCUAUCAAGUAGUGAAUGAUGCACAGAAUGCUCACAUAUUAGUUAUGUUAAAUUUGCAUACAAGCUUUUUACGGAGUAGAAAUGUUCUAGGCUGUUUUGAAAGCUUCUGGGUUUGAAAUUGAGAUUGGUUUUUGGGUCAUCUAGUUGUAAGGUGAUGGUGGGAUGGGUUCUAGGCUGUUUUGAAAGCUUCUGGGUUUGAAAUUGAGAUUGGUUUUUGGGUCAUCUAGUUGUAAGGUGAUGGUGGGAUGGCAGCUUUAGUAAGGAAUUGUAGUUGAAUCAAAAUUAAGGAUAUUCUAUUAAGUUUACAGAAUUACAGUAGAUUGAGUUUGAUAUUUUGCUCAUCUAUACUAUUGAACUGGAAGUUGCAGUGAAAAAUACAUUAUAUUCUGCAUGAUGUACUAUGCAUUUGGUGUGGUGUAUGCUAUCACAUCAGAAGCCUCAAAACUGUACCUUUGUAUCUAGUAUGAUUAUCUUCUUAGUGUUUAUUGCUGUUUUGGUUGAUUCCUAAUUGCAGUAUAUCAUAUUAUGCUUAUGUGUAAACGCUAAAGGUCAACGAGUGAAAAAAGUUGUGUCAAAGAAGGUUAGAAGCUUCUGGUUAUAUAAACCAACCGGCAAAGAGAGAGUUAUAGCUCAGAUGACCUAGUUAGCCUUGAAAUUUUAGUCACACAUUUCUCUUUAAAUUUGUUAUGGUACGUUACUCGUUGCAGUUGAAGUUUGUUAUCUUGUGUUGGACUUGCCUACAACAAAUGAAACCAGUACACUAGUUUUUUUGUUCCCUCUUUUUUCCCUAUAAUGAUGAAGACCAUAAGUUAAAUUAAUGGGAUGAGUUUUCUGGGAAUAGAAACAAGGCAGUUUUACGAGCAUAUGCCUGGAUAGUGUUCGUAAUGUGCCUCUGAUGACAUGAUCUUUACCAUAGUAACAUGUUCCUCCUAGGUUACUUGAUGUUCUGACCCUCUUUGCUUGGAUUGUAACUGAAAAAAUAACACCACCAUUAACAAAUUCGAAGCACUGAAUUUCAUGUUUGUUUAACUUUCUAUUCAUCAGUAAUUUCUCUAUCUCGUAUGUUCUCAUAUGGUAGUGACAUGGUAAUGGAUUGUUACGCAUGGAAGGGACAUGGCUUAUCACAAGCUUGCAUCUAAUCUUUAUCCAGUGAAGCAAGGCUAACGUAUUAGCCAGCAUAGCGACUUUGGUCGGUUCUUGUACUUUUUAGUAUUUAUUAAAAAUGUUGUGAUUCACAGGGGAACUUUGCUUAUGCCUCGUAUUUAUGGUAAGGAUUACUACAACUGAGACUAUGGUUGAAGUUCUCUUCUUCUCCGCUUGUUUUCUAUUUUCUGUGUGCAUGCUUCUAUUCUCUUUUGCAUCUUCAUCAUCUGGAGAUAACAAAACCUGGGACUAACUUAAGUUUUGAAGUACAUCCAAUUAGUCAUUCUUCUUUGAUAACUGUUUGUUUUGUGCAUGUAAAGUUUAAAUUCUUACAAUAAACAUGUGUUUUUAUCAAAAUGAAUAGAUAAACCUUUGUUUCAUUACAUGAGAUAACUAUCGCAGUGGGUUUUGUUUUCUCUUUUAUCAAAAGUGUUAGGAUCAACAUGGCUUGCUCACGCAAUCCUUAGACUCUAGGGUUUUAGUUUUCAGACACGAUAGGCUCCCUGCUAGCAUGCGAGCAAGACGCGUGCAAGUGGCGUGGUGCCUAUAUCACGGUUGUUUCUUCACAGUUUAAUGUAUAUACAGCUUAAUUGACUCGCUGGAAACAACCGUGAUGGGCGCCACACCACUUGCACGCGUAUUACUCGCGUGGUGGCAUGUAGCCUGUCGUAUUAGAACUAAAACCCUAGAUAAUGGGGAUUCCAGAACCUGUCUGGGUGAAAUGCGGGGUCUUUGACUUCAGAUCUUGCCACAUCCAAAUUGGCGAGUAACCCGUGUGAAUUCUAACAUGUUUGUAAUGGAUAUCUCUCGAUGGAUGAAAAGUUUACCCUGUGCUUCAGAUUUUCUUUUAUAGAUAAUGAUUACAUAAAUUGGAACUCCCGAUUUGCAUGGUUUUGAUAGAGAAGAUAGAGUGUCAAUUCAACCAAACAGCGGUAAGAAAACGCAUGUUUCGUUGGAGAAUUUUGGAUUUUCUUUAUCUUGAUGAAAUGAUGUAAACUGAAAGCUGCCUUUUUGAAGCGAGGAUGUACUAUCAAUCACCACCAUCCUGUUCGCAUGGACUUUAAACGCAAUGUUGUUGUAUUCCACAAGUAGUACUUGAUCCUAUUACUAUCAUUACAGAUUGCAUUCACCAACUAGAUUAAGUCAGUGAUACCUGUUCGGUUUUACCAGAUCCUUCAGCAUUGCCGUUCCCAGCCAGCCUCAUACCAACAUCAUUCAUAUAAAUGACCAACUGUAUCUUUCAUUUUGAUUAUCGUUCUUGACUGAGGUUGUGCCUUGGAUAGAGUAGAUAAUUUGGGAAGCAGAAAACCUGAAGAAGAAAAAGAGUUAGGUUCCACUAAUCCACUUUAAAGAUCUAAGGACGCCAAGUGACACAAGAAAAAAAAGUGAAAAAGACAGAAAACAGAGAAGAAACAGUACAUCUAAACCAAAACUUUAUUGCUUUGUCAUUAUUAUGAUUCCUUGUUGUACUUGCUGUUUUCCAGUCUUAGAAAAAACUGCCAAACACGGUACAGUUGAGCUGAAAGAUGUCUGUCAAGAUUAAAAGAGUUUUAGCUUUAAAUUUAGGUAAAGCAUGCUAGGUUUUCUUCUUACUCAUGAUCAUCCUCUUGAAUGCGAUCUAUUUGCUUUCUUUGGCUUCUUCUAUAUUUACUAAAGAAAUAUUCUACUCUUUCAUUUUGUAGUUCUGAAUCUUUUGGUUCAUAUUAGUUUUUCUUUCUUUUUUUCUUUUUUGUUUUCUUGAUUAAAGUUUACUGGUGGGUGCAAUUCCUAUAGUUUGCUUGCAGCAUAUUUAGGGAUUACUGAUCAAGUUUUCUCAAUAAUUUUUUUGCUGGUUCAUGUGUUUGUAAAGUUUUCCAGAUCAUUCUAACACCGAUGAUCAUCGGUUUUUGUGGAUUGAAGUUUUGCUUGACGGAAGAGAGAGGUCACUCUUGUUGACAUUCAUGAAAGGGACAUGAUUGUGUUCAAGAGUGCCCUCUCUCUAUCCGUCAUACUUUUGCGAUCGACAAGCAUGUAAUCCUUUUAAAUGCAGGUCUUCGCUUAGGUUUUCGACCUGUUUUUACUGCAUCCAAGCUCCAACUUCACAAGGUGAUUUUCCUCGUUAACAAAGACACAGAAGAGCGAAAGACUAUAAAGCAUCAAAGCUAUUCAUGCCUCUGAAAAGUUUGCGUCAUCUCCCACAACUGAUUUUUUGCAGGGAUGAGGACAGAGGUCACUCUUUUCGAUAUUCAUGAAAGGGACACGAGGCAUGUCGUUAUAUAUGGAGGUCUUCCCUUAGGCAUUUGACGUGUCCCUGCUGCAUCCAAGCCACAACUUCACAAGGUAGCUCCGAGAACAAAGAUACAAAAGAGCCAAAGACUUGGUGACACCAAAGGAUCUCUAAAAGAGGUUCAUCUGGAGAUGGCCGGUUGUAGACCAGAAGAACUAGUUCAUUGAAGAUCCCCGGAUACUUAUUUUAUUGCGCUCCUCCUAAUCUGCAGCAAAACAGGUAGGAAUAGUCUGCAGCCACUCCCUGAUGGACAGGCACACUCGCUCCCAAAUGGUUGAUAGUGAAAAUCUAGUUAUGUUUAGAUGCUCUUGUCAGGUAUGCCGUUAAUAUCAAAGCAUUUUGUUGAAGCAGUAAACUUAGCUCGUGUAUGUUUUUAAACCUCAUCAAAUAUUCUUUUGUUAGUC